UACGGGGGGGGCAAGCGUUGUUCGGAAUUACUGGGCGUAAAGGGCUCGUAGGCGGCCAACUAAGUCAGACGUGAAAUCCCUCGGCUUAACCGGGGAACUGCGUCUGAUACUGGAUGGCUUGAGUUCGGGAGAGGGAUGCGGAAUUCCAGGUGUAGCGGUGAAAUGCGUAGAUAUCAAGAGGAACACCUGCGGCGAAGGCGGGUUGCUGGGCCGACACUGACGCUGAGGCGCGAAAGCCAGGGGAGCGAACGGG
rnacentral:rRNA from 1 species